rnacentral:tRNA from 1 species
GUUUCCGUCGUGUAGCGGUUAUCACGUCUGCUUAACACGCAGAAGGUCCCUGGUUCGAUCCCGCGCGGAAACA